rnacentral:rRNA from 1 species
UACGAAGGGGGCUAGCGUUGCUCGGAAUCACCGGGCGUAAAGGGUGCGUAGGCGGGUCUUUAAGUCAGGGGUGAAAUCCUGGAGCUCAACUCCAGAACUGCCUUUGAUACUGAAGAUCUUGAGUUCGGGAGAGGUGAGUGGAACUGCGAGUGUAGAGGUGAAAUUCGUAGAUAUUCGCAAGAACACCAGUGGCGAAGGCGGCUCACUGGCCCGAUACUGACGCUGAGGCACGAAAGCGUGGGGAGCAAACAGGG